rnacentral:tRNA from 1 species
UGGCUCAGUGGUAGAGUGCUCACCUAGCACGUGUGAGGCCCUGGGUUCGAUCCUCAG